AUUAGAGUUUGAUCAUGGCUCAGAACGAACGCUGGUAGCGUGGAUUAGGCAUGCAAGUCGAACGGGAUCCGGAAGGCAGCAAUGUCGGCCGGUGAGAGUGGCGGAAGGGCGAGGAACACGUGGGCAACCUGCCCGGAGGACGGGGAAAACCGCUGGAAACGGCGGCUAAUACCCGAUGCGGCGCGAAGGGGACAUCCCCGUUGCGCCAAAGGGGGCCGCAAGGCUCCCGUCUCCGGAGGGGCCCGCGCACCAUCGGCUAGUCGGCGGGGUAACGGCCCACCGAGGCUUACGGUUAGCUGGUCUGAGAGGAUGGCCAGCCGCACUGGGACUGAGACACUGCCCAGACUCCUACGGGAGGCUGCAGUCGAGGAUCAUUCGCAAUGGGGGAAACCCUGACGAUGCGACGCUGCGUGGAGGACGACGGCCUUCGGGUUGUAAACUCCUGUCAUGCGGGAAAAGGAGAGGUCGCCGAACGGGCGUCCGAUUUGAUGGUACCGCAAGAGGAAGCGACGGCUAACUCUGUGCCAGCAGCCGCGGUAAUACAGAGGUCGCAAGCGUUGUUCGGAUUUACUGGGCGUAAAGGGCGCGUAGGCGGCGCGGCGUGUCGGAUGUGAAAGCCACGGGCUCAACCCGUGAAGUGCGUCCGAAACUGUCGCGCUAGAGUGCGGAAGAGGAGACUGGAAUGCAGGGUGUAGCGGUGAAAUGCGUUGAUAUCCUGCAGAACACCGGUGGCGAAGGCGGGUCUCUGGUACGCAACUGACGCUCAGGCGCGAAAGUCGGGGGAGCAAACAGGAUUAGAUACCCUGGUAGUCCCGACCUUAAACGGUGCACACUCGGGGUGGGGGGAUUCCAACCCCCUCCCGUCCCCAAGCAAACGCGUUAAGUGUGCCGCCUGGGGAGUACGGCCGCAAGGCUAAAACGGCCGCACACGUGCUACAAUGGCCGGUACAGAGGGACCCCAAGCCGCGAGGCGGAGGAAACCCCCCAGAGCCGGCCCCAGUUCGGAUCGGGGUCUGCAAUUCGACCCCGUGAAGUCGGAUUUGUUAGUAACGGCGCAUCAGCUACGGCGCCGUGAAUGCGUUCCCGGGCCUUGUACACACCGCCCGUCACAUCAUGAAAGCCGUCUGCACCCGAAGCCGGGCGUCUGUCCGUCUAAGGUGUGGGUGGUGAUUGGGAUGAAGUCGUAACAAGGUAACCAAU
rnacentral:rRNA from 1 species